rnacentral:lncRNA from 1 species
AAGUAACACACACAGCAAGGUAGUCAGAGGCCAGACAGGUAACACACACAGCAAGGUUGUCAGAGGCCAGACAGGUAACACACACAGCAAGGUAGUCAGAGGCCAGACAGGUAACACACACAGCAAGGUAGUCAGAGGCCACUCAGCAAGGUAGUCAGAGGCCAGACAGGUAACACACACAGCAAGAUAGUCAAGAGGCCAGACAAGUAACACACACAGCAAGGUUGACAGAGGCCAGACAGGUAACACACACAGCAAGGUAGUCAGAGGCCAGACAGGUAACACAUACAGCAAGGUAGUCAGAGGCCAGACAGGUAACACACACAGCAAGGUAGUCAGAGGCCAGACAGGUAACACACACAGCAAGGUAGUCAGAGGCCAGACAGGUAACACACACAGCAAGGCAUUCAGAGGCCAGACAGGUAACAUACAUGGCAGAGGCCAGCAGGUAACACAUACAGCAAGAUAGUCAUAGGCCAGAAAGGUAACAUACACAACAAGGUAGUCAGAGCCCACUCAGCAAGGUAGUCAGAGGCCAGACAGGUAACACAUACAGCAAGGUAGUCAGGGGCCACUCAGCAAGGUAGUCAGAGGCCAGACAGGUAACACAUACAGCAAGGUAGUCAGAGGCCAGACAGGUAACACAUACAGCAAGGUAGUCAGAGGCCAGACAGGUAACACACACAGCAAGGUAGUCAGAGGCCAGACAGGUAACACACACAGCAAGGUAGUCAGAGGCCAGACAGGUAACACACACAGCAAGGUAGUCAGAGGGCAUUCAUGUUAUUUGUGUUACUUUAUAUUCACAUUGUAUUAUAUUCAAUCACAUAUUAUUAAAUCAUGUUAAAUCUUAUUCAUAUUACACAUUACCUGAUAUUCAGUUUACAUUAUAUUUAACUUACAUUAUCAUGAUUGUAUCCACAUUACAUUCACCUUAUAUUACAUUGUAUUAAAAUUACAUUAUAGACCCGUGAAGAUCCGGGAAAGAAUAGGUCUCCA